GACGAACCGUGCGAACGUUGUUCGGAAUCACUGGGCUUAAAGGGCGCGUAGGCGGCUGCACAAGUCCGGGGUGAAAGCCCCCAGCUCAACUGGGGAAGUGCCUUGGAUACUGUGCAGCUCGGGCGAGGUAGGGGUCGUGGGAACUUCCGGUGGAGCGGUGAAAUGCGUUGAUAUCGGAAGGAACGCCGGUGGCGAAAGCGCACGACUGGACCUCUCCUGACGCUGAGGCGCGAAAGCCAGGGGAGCAAACGGG
rnacentral:rRNA from 1 species